CGGGGGGAGCAAGCGUUGUUCGGAUUUACUAGGCGUAAAGGGCGCGUAGGCGGUGCAACAAGUCACUUGUGAAAUCUCCGGGCUUAACCCGGAGCGGCCAAGUGAUACUGUCGUGCUAGCGUGCGGAAGGGGCUACUGGAAUUCUCGGUGUAGCGGUGAAAUGCGUAGAUAUCGAGAGGAACACCUGCGGCGAAGGCGGGUAGCUGGGCCGACACUGACGCUGAGGCGCGAAAGCCAGGGGAGCGAACGGGAUUAGAUACCCCGGUAGUCCUGGCCUUAAACGAUGGAUGCUUGGUGUCCGGGGUUACAUAGUCCCCGGGUGCCGGCGCUAACGCAUUAAGCAUCCCGCCUGGGGAGUACGGUCGCAAGACUG
rnacentral:rRNA from 1 species